GACGAACGCUGGCGGCGUGCUUAACACAUGCAAGUCGAACGAUGAAGAAGAGCUUGCUCUUCGGAUUAGUGGCGAACGGGUGAGUAACACGUGACUAACCUGCCCCUUUCUCUGGGAUAACGCUCCGAAAGGAGUGCUAAUACCGGAUACUCACAUCGAGGCACAUGCCUUGAUGUGGAAAGUUUUUCGGAAAGGGAUGGAGUCGCGGCCUAUCAGCUUGUUGGUGAGGUAAAGGCUCACCAAGGCGACGACGGGUAGCCGGCCUGAGAGGGUGACCGGCCACACUGGGACUGAGACACGGCCCAGACUCCUACGGGAGGGAGCAGUGGGGAAUAUUGCAGAAUGGGCGCAAGCCUGAUGCAGCAACGCCGCGUGAGGGAUGACGGCCUUCGGGUUGUAAACCUCUUUUAGCAGGGAAGAAGCGAAAGUGACGGUACCUGCAGAAAAAGCACCGGCUAACUACGUGCCAGCAGCCGCCGUAA
rnacentral:rRNA from 1 species